rnacentral:misc_RNA from 1 species
UCACAUGAUCAAUACAUGGGGCUACUCAACAAUAAACUUUUUUGCUCCAAUGAGUCGAUAUGCAAGUUGUGGUGGCGGACCUGUCCGUGCUUCCUGGGAGUUAAAAGAAAUGGUCAAGGCCUUGCAUGGUGCUGGAAUUGAGGUCAUCUUAGAUGUUGUUUAUAAUCACACAAAUGAAGCUGAUGAUGAAAACCCAUAUACAACCUCAUUCCGAGGAAUAGACAACAAGGUUUAUUACAUGGUAGAUUUGAACAACAAUGCUCAGCUGCUGAAUUUCUCUGGAUGUGGUAAUACUUUUAACUGCAACCAUCCUACCGUCAUGGAACUUAUACUUGAAAGCUUAAGACACUGGGUCACCGAGUAUCAUGUCGAUGGAUUUCGCUUUGAUCUUGCUAGUGUUCUUUGCAGAGGGACAGAUGGUACUCCCAUUAAUGCUCCCCCCUUGGUUAAGGCCAUUUCCAGAGAUAGUGUAUUGUCGAGGUGCAAAAUUAUUGCUGAGCCAUGGGAUUGUGGAGGCCUAUAUCUUGUUGGGAAGUUUCCGAACUGGGACCGGUGGGCUGAGUGGAACGGGAAGUACCGUGAUGACAUCAGAAGAUUUAUAAAGGGCGAUGCUGGCAUGAAAGGAAAUUUUGCAACCCGUAUCGCAGGUUCAGCAGAUCUGUACAGAGUGAACAAGCGAAAACCUUACCACAGUGUCAACUUCGUGAUUGCCCAUGAUGGCUUUACUUUGUAUGACCUUGUUUCAUACAAUAAUAAGCACAAUGAUGCGAAUGGUGAAGGUGGCAAUGAUGGAUGCAAUGACAAUUUCAGUUGGAAUUGUGGUAUUGAAGGUGAAACUUCAGAUGCAAAUGUUAACGAACUGCGUUCACGGCAAAUGAAAAAUUUUCAUUUGGCACUGAUGGUUUCUCAGGGAACACCAAUGAUGCUUAUGGGUGAUGAGUACGGGCAUACCCGCUAUGGAAAUAAUAACAGUUAUGGACAUGAUACCGCCAUCAACAAUUUCCAGUGGGGACAAUUGGAAGCAAGGAGGAAUGAUCACUUCAGGUUCUUUUCCAAGAUGAUAAAGUUUCGACUGUCCCAUAAUGUUCUAAGAAAGGAAAAUUUCAUUGAGAAGAACGACAUUACCUGGCUCGAGGACAACUGGUACAAUGAAGAGAGUAGAUUCCUUGCAUUUAUGCUCCAUGAUGGGAAUGGAGGAGAUAUUUACUUGGCAUUUAAUGCACACCACUUCUCCAUCAAAACAGCAAUACCUUCACCACCACGAAAUAGAAGUUGGUACCGAGUGGUGGACACUAAUCUGAAAUCACCAGAUGAUUUUGUUACUGAGGGAGUGUCUGGUAUCCGUGAAACUUAUGAUAUUGCGCCGUACUCUGCUAUCCUUCUUGAAGCAAAGUAAUAAUUACCGGAGUUAUGCUGCUUUGGAUGUUGUUCAUGUCUAUUACACUAUUACGUCCUUCUGGAUUGGAUAGUUAAAAUCGAAAUUCAGGUGCUAAUAUAAGCAUAUAGUUAGCAUAUAAAUGUAGUAUUUUGAGCAGAAACUUUGUGAUGACCAACCAGUUUGUUCAGGCUGCCAUUGACAGGUGCCAGGUUGUUUGAGACAGGUAAACUUGGUGCCUCAACAUCCUUUUUUUUCUAAGGAAAAAAAUAAUAUGCCAAUAGGAUAGUUUUAUUGGCAUUUUUUAUUAAUAAAGUAGAGAUCAAAACUGUAGCUUACAUCAU